rnacentral:rRNA from 1 species
UACAGAGGGUGCAAGCGUUAAUCGGAAUUACUGGGCGUAAGCGUGCGUAGACGGUUAUUUAAGUCAGGUGUGAAAGCCCAGGGCUCAACCUUGGAAUUGCAUUUGAGACUGAAUAGCUAGGGUGCGGAAGAGGGAAGCGGAAUUCCGGUGUAGCGGUGAAAUGCGUAGAGUAUUACUAGGAACACCAAUGGCGAAGGCAGCUUGCUGGGCUACUCCUGACACUGAGG